GGGGUAAAAUUAAUUAUUUAAUAAUUAAUAAAAGAAAUUUUAAUAUUAAAAUAUUUAAUGGGGGUUAAAGUAUUUUUAAUUGAAAAAAUUUGAAAUUUUAUAGUUGAUUAGUAUUGUGAAAGAAAUUUGAAAUAAAAUUGAAAGUAAAAUAAUUUAAAAGUAAAUUUAAUUUAUUGUAUCUUGUGUAUCAGAGUUUAUUAAAAAUUUUUUAUUUAUUUAAAUUUCUCGAAUUUAAAAGAGUUAGUUAAUUAAUAAAUUUAUUGUUUUAUAAAUAUUUUAAAUAAUUAAUUAGAAAUGAAAUGUUAUUCGUUUUUAAAUAUAUCUAGUUAUUUUAGAAAAAAAUUUAAUUUUUAAUUAAAUUUUAAAAUUAAUUAAAUAUUUAAUUAAUUUUAAAAUUUAAUUUAAUAUUUUAAGGGAUAAGCUUUAAAUUUAAAAUUUUAUAAUUAAAAAUUAAUAUUUGAAAAUUUUAUAAUUUAUAUUGUUAAUAAAUUUUAAUUUAUUAUAAAUAAUUUCAUAAAGUAAUAAAAUUUAAUUAAUAAUUUAAUUUUUUAUAAAAAAAUUUUUUUUAAUGUUAAAAAAUUAUUAAUAAUGAUAAAAUUAGUAUAUAAUUUAUUUUAUUAAAGUAUUUAUUUUUAAUAGUUAUUUUAAAGGAAUUCGACAAAUAUAUAUAUUCACCUGUUUAUCAAAAACAUGUCUUUUUGAUAAAUAAUUUAAAGUCUAAUCUGCCCACUGAUUUAAUAUUGAAGGGCUGCAGUAUAUUGACUGUACAAAGGUAGCAUAAUCAUUAGUCUCUUAAUUGGUGACUUGUAUGAAAGAUUGGAUGAAAUAUAAAUUGUCUCUAUUAUAUUUAUUGAAUUUAAUUUUUUAAUUAAAAAGUUAAAAUGUUUUAAAAAGACGAGAAGACCCUAUAGAGUUUUAUAUUUAAUUUUUUUUAAAAAUUUGAAUAAAUUAUUUAUUUUUAAAUAAGUUAAUUAUUUUAUUGGGGUGAUGAAAAAAUAAAAAUAACUUUUUUUGUAAAAUUAAACAUAAAUAAGUGAAUUUUUGAUCCAAUUUUUUUGAUUAUAAGAAAAAAUUACCUUAGGGAUAACAGCGUAAUUUUUUUUUUUAGUUCAAAUAAGAAAAAAAGUUUGCGACCUCGAUGUUGGAUUAAGAUAAAAUUUAAAUGCAAAAGUUUAAAAUUUUGAUCUGUUCGAUCAUUAAAAUCUUACAUGAUCUGAGUUCAAACCGGUGUGAGCCAGGUUGGUUUCUAUCUUUUAAGUUAUUUUAUAUUUUAGUACGAAAGGACCAAAUAUUAUAAUUAAAUUAAUUAAUUUGAAUUUUAUUAAUUAUUUAUAUAAAUUUG
rnacentral:rRNA from 1 species